rnacentral:rRNA from 1 species
GACGAACGCUGGCGGCGUGCCUAACACAUGCAAGUCGAACGGGACCAGGGGCAACUCUGGUUCAGUGGCGGACGGGUGCGUAACACGUGAGGAACAUGACCUUGGCGGGGAGUAGCCGGCCCAACGGCCGGGUAAUACCGCGUACGACCACAUGGGGACGAUCCCUGAGUGGUGAAAGCAGCAAUGCGCCGAUGGAGUGCCUCGCGGCCUAUCAGCUAGUUGGUGAGGUAACGGCNCACCAAGGCGACGACGGGUAGCUGGUCUGAGAGGAUGGCCAGCCACAUUGGGACUGAGACACGGCCCAGACUCCUACGGGAGGCAGCAGUGGGGAAUUGUUCGCAAUGGGCGCAAGCCUGACGACGCAACGCCGCGUGGAGGAUGAAGAUUUUCGGAUCGUAAACUCCUGUCGAGCGGGAAGAACACCUACCUGGCGAAUAUCCGGGUAGGCUGACGGUACCGCUAAAGGAAGCCCCGGCUAACUCCGUGCCAGCAGCCGC